GAUGAAGAACGCAGCGAAAUGCGAUACUUGGUGUGAAUUGCAGAAUCCCGUGAACCAUCGAGUCUUUGAACGCAAGUUGCGCCCGAAGCCAUCAGGUUGAGGGCACGUCUGCCUGGGCGUCACAUAUCGUUGCCCAAUGCCUAUUGCAGUGCAAUAGGAAUUUCUAGGGCGAAUGAUGGCUUCCCGUGAGCGUUGUUGCCUCGCGGUUGGUUGAAAAUCGAGUCCUUGGUAGGGUGUGCCAUGGUAGAUGGUGGUCGAGUUAGAACGAUACCGAUCAUGUGCAUGCUCCCCAAGAUAUGGCCUCUAUGACCCACACGCGUCUUUUGACGCUCAUGACGAGACCUCAGGUCAGGCGGGGCUACCCGCUGAAUUUAAGCAUAUCAAUAAGCGGAGGA
rnacentral:misc_RNA from 1 species